UACGGAGGAUGCAAGCGUUAUCCGGAAUUAUUGGGCGUAAAGCGUCCGUAGGUGGCUAUUCAAGUCUGCUGUUAAAGCGCAGGGCUUAACCCUGUAAAGGCGGUGGAAACUGGAGAGCUAGAGUGUGGUAGGGGUAGAGGGAAUUCCCGGUGUAGCGGUGAAAUGCGUAGAGAUCAGGAAGAACAUCGGUGGCGAAGGCGCUCUGCUGGACCAUAACUGACACUCAGGGACGAAAGCUAGGGGAGCGAAUGGG
rnacentral:rRNA from 1 species